CCUACGGGUGGCAGCAGUGAGGAAUAUUGGUCAAUGGACGAGAGUCUGAUCCAGCAAAGUAGCGUGAAGGAUGACUGCCCUAUGGGUUGUAAACUUCUUUUAUAUGGGAAUAAAACGUUCCACGUGUCUGUUUUUGUAUGUACCAUAUUAAUAAGGAUCGGCUAACUCCGUGCCAGCAGCCGCGGUAAUACGGGGGAUACGAGCGUUAUCCGGAUUUCGUGGGUUUAAAGGGAGCGUAGGUGGAUUGUUAAGUCAGUUGUGAAAGUUUGCGGCUUAACCGUAAAAUUGCAGUUGAAACUGGCAGUCUUGAGUACAGUAGAGGUGGGCGGAACUCGUGGUGUAGCGGUGGAAUGCUUAGAUAUAACGAAGAACUCCGAUUGCGAAGGCAGUUCACUGGACUGCAACUGACACUGAGGCUCGAAAGUGUGGGUAUCAAACAGGAUUAGAUACCCGGGUAGUC
rnacentral:rRNA from 1 species